GCUAUUUCUCCAGAAAUUGAAAAUUUUGUGAUAAAAAGAAACGGAAAAUAAUUUUAUAUAAUAGAAAAUAAGUAGAACAACUAAGUGCAAUGUUACACCGGUUUUCAAUUGUUGCUGUGCGACAUUAAAAAUAAAAACAAAUCAAGAGCAAAAAAAAUUAUAUUAAAUAAAUUUUAAAACUUUCGGUUCGAUCGAAUCCGAUAUAUUGAUGAUAAAUAUAUAUAUAUAUACAUAUAUACACAUACUACACUAUGUAUUACAUACAUCACAGUGAGUCCUGUUUUGCAAACAGAGUGCAAUGACGUAGAUAUAAUUAGAAAUAUCGAUAAUAAUAAUAAUAGUGUAACUUCCAUGAAAAAUCAGUUAUUGCGUGGGUGGAUAACUAUGUUUUCUUGUUAAUUGACAUUCAUCGAUUAUUUAAAUAUUUUUAUUUUUUUAAAAAUCAUAUAAGAAUAGAACAAAAGAGAUAAAGAAAAGAAAAAGAGUGAAAAAAGAAGGAAAAGAAAAGAGAAAAAAAGAAGAGGAAGAGAAAAUAAAGAAAGAGUGAAAAAAGUGAUAGACCGACAUUUUCUAUUGGGUUGAAAGAUUCGUGACGAACACAACUCGACCAUGAUACAAAUCCCGGUUUUGGUAGGGAUGGCAUUUGGUUGGAGGGUUGCUAGACAGACCAACAGUAGACGGGAGUAACGAUUGCCACCACCCUUGUACGAGGCGAGCUAGUCACCCCUUCCGUGUCCUUCCGACUUCCCACACGUCCCUGCUCUGCAUCCAAUCCGUCCAGCGAGCCGACCGCUUACUAACCAAACUGAAAACAUCCCUUUGCUGGUCAAUCGCCUUUGCUACCCCCUGCUGUUCUCCUAUCAACCAUUUUUUAACCGUUACACUACUAACUUCUUUCGAUCUUUCCUAUCUGCACAAUAUCCAUCGAUCGAUCAAAAAAUUUUUGAAUCGGAAAGGUGAUAUAAAAGAAGAGUUAAAUGAGUCAAAACGUUAUCUUGUCCGCAUGCGCAGAAGGUCUUUUUCAGAGCAUCGAUACGACAGUCUAUAAAUAAAUAAUGAUAAGACUCGAAAGCUGACGUACAAAUCUACAUUAUUUUCACAUUUUUUUCAUUGUUUAAUUGCAUUGUUUAAUUAAAUUGAAUAUAAAUUGAAAUAGAAGAAAUAUUAUAUAUAUAUAUAUAAAUGAAUUCUAAAUAAUAUUAUUAUGAAUAGUAUCAUUCUUGUAAAUAAUAUUUAAUUUUAUUUAAUGUAGUUAAUAAAGAUAAAGAAAAAAAUGAA